rnacentral:rRNA from 1 species
GACGAACGCUGGCGGCGUGCUUAACACAUGCAAGUCGAACGGAAAGGCCCUGCUUUUGUGGGGUGCUCGAGUGGCGAACGGGUGAGUAACACGUGAGUAACCUGCCCCUGUCUUUGGGAUAACUUCAGGAAACUGGGGCUCAUACCGGAUAGGAGCUCCUGCUGCAUGUUGGGGGUUGGAAAGUUUCGGCGGUUGGGGAUGGACUCGAGGCUUAUCAGCUUGUUGGUGGGGUAGUGGCUUACAAAGGCUUUGACGGGUAGCCGGCCUGAGAGGGUGACCGGCCACAUUGGGACUGAGAUACGGCCCAGACGGCUACGGGAGGCAGCAGGGGGGAAUAUUGCAGAAUGGGCGGAAGCCUGAUGCAGCAACGCCGCGUGCGGGAUGACGGCCUUCGGGUGGUAAACCGCUUUCGCCUGUGACGAGGCGGGAGUGACGGUAAUGGGUAAAGAAGCACCGGCUAACUACGUG